rnacentral:rRNA from 1 species
GUCGAACGAGACUUCUUUAUCACCGAGUGCUUGCACUCACCGAUAAAGAGUUGAGUGGCGAACGGGUGAGUAACACGUGGGCAACCUGCCCAAAAGAGGGGGAUAACACUUGGAAACAGGUGCUAAUACCGCAUAACCAUAGUUACCGCAUGGUAACUAUGUAAAAGGUGGCUAUGCUACCGCUUUUGGAUGGGCCCGCGGCGCAUUAGCUAGUUGGUGGGGUAAAGGCUUACCAAGGCAAUGAUGCGUAGCCGAACUGAGAGGUUGAUCGGCCACAUUGGGACUGAGACACGGCCCAAACUCCUACGGGAGGCAGCAGUAGGGAAUCUUCCACAAUGGGCGAAAGCCUGAUGGAGCAACGCCGCGUGGGUGAAGAAGGUCUUCGGAUCGUAAAACCCUGUUGUUAGAGAAGAAAGUGCGUGAGAGUAACUGUUCACGUUUCGACGGUAUCUAACCAGAAAGCCACGGCUAACUACGUGCCAGCAGCCGCGGUAAUACGUAGGUGGCAAGCGUUAUCCGGAUUUAUUGGGCGUAAAGGGAACGCAGGCGGUCUUUUAAGUCUGAUGUGAAAGCCUUCGGCUUAACCGGAGUAGUGCAUUGGAAACUGGGAGACUUGAGUGCAGAAGAGGAGAGUGGAACUCCAUGUGUAGCGGUGAAAUGCGUAGAUAUAUGGAAGAACACCAGUGGCGAAAGCGGCUCUCUGGUCUGUAACUG